rnacentral:misc_RNA from 1 species
UUUCCGUAGGUGAACCUGCGGAAGGAUCAUUGUCGAAACCUGCCCAGCAGAACGACCCGCGAACUUGUAUAAACAACCGGGGGCGGGGGGCGUUCUCGCCCCGUGCCCCCGAACGGCGGGGAGACACUCGUGCCUUCUUGCCGAACAGCGAACCCCGGCGCGGUCUGCGCCAAGGAACUUCAACUAAAGAGUGCCUCCGGUCGCCUCGGAAACGGCGUGCGUGCCGGGGGCGAAUCUUGUGCAAAACCAUAACGACUCUCGGCAACGGAUAUCUCGGCUCUC